GACGAACGCUGGCGGCGUGCUUAACACAUGCAAGUCGAACGAAGAGCGAUGGACGCUUGCUUCUAUCAAUCUUAGUGGCGAACGGGUGAGUAACGCGUAAUCAACCUGCCCUUCAGAGGGGGACAACAGUUGGAAACGACUGCUAAUACCGCAUACGAUCUAAUCUCGGCAUCGAGGAUAGAUGAAAGGUGGCCUCUACAUGUAAGCUAUCACUGAAGGAGGGGAUUGCGUCUGAUUAGCUAGUUGGAGGGGUAACGGCCCACCAAGGCGAUGAUCGGUAGCCGGUCUGAGAGGAUGAACGGCCACAUUGGGACUGAGACACGGCCCAGACUCCUACGGGAGGCAGCAGUGGGGAAUCUUCCGCAAUGGACGAAAGUCUGACGGAGCAACGCCGCGUGAGUGAUGACGGCCUUCGGGUUGUAAAGCUCUGUUAAUCGGGACGAAAGGCCUUCUUGCGAAUAGUGAGAAGGAUUGACGGUACCGGAAUAGAAAGCCACGGCUAACUACGUG
rnacentral:rRNA from 1 species